AAGUAAUUUCAACAGAGACCAUAAGGCCCGUAAAGCCUACAAUGUUUACUAUUUGGCCCUUUACAGAAAAAAAAAUUUAAUGAACUAAG